UGCAGUCGAGGGGCAACGCGAGUAGCAAUACUUGGGCGGCGACCGGCGCAAGGGUGCGUAAUGCGUGAGCAACAUGCCCGUAUCAGGGGGAUAAUCCAGGGAAACUUGGUCUAAUACCCCAUAGUAAUUUUGUAAGGCAUCUUAUAAGAUUUAAAGCUUUGGUGGAUACGGAUUGGCUCGCGUGACAUUAGCUGGAUGGUAAGGUAACGGCUUACCAUGGCUAUGAUGUCUAGGGGUUCUGAGAGGAAGGUCCCCCACACUGGAACUGAGACACGGUCCAGACUCCUACGGGAGGCAGCAGUGAGGAAUAUUGGACAAUGGAUGGAAAUCUGAUCCAGCCAUGCCGCGUGAAGGAAGAAGGUCCUAUGGAUUGUAAACUUCUUUUGUAUGGGAGCAAUAAGGCCUACGUGUAGGUUGAUGAGAGUACCAUACGAAUAAGCACCGGCUAACUCCGUGCCAGCAGCCGCGGUAAUACGGAGGGUGCAAGCGUUAUCCGGAUUUAUUGGGUUUAAAGGGUGCGUAGGCGGUUAUUUAAGUCAGUGGUGAAAGUUUUCGGCUCAACCGGAAAAUUGCCAUUGAUACUGGGUAGCUAGAAUAUGGUUGCUGUGAGUAGAAUGUGUGGUGUAGCGGUGAAAUGCAUAGAUAUCACACAGAAUACCGAUUGCGAAGGCAUCUCACAAAGCCAUCAUUGACGCUGAGGCACGAAAGUGUGGGGAUCAAACAGGAUUAGAUACCCUGGUAGUCCACACUGUAAACGAUGAUAACUAGCUGUUGGCGAUACACAGUCAGUGGCCAAGCGAAAGCGAUAAGUUAUCCACCUGGGGAGUACGAACCGCAGGUUGAAACUCAAAGGAAUUGACGGGGGCCCGCACAAGCGGAGGAACAUGUGGUUUAAUUCGAUGAUACGCGAGGAACCU
rnacentral:rRNA from 1 species